UACGAACGGUCCAAACGUUAUUCGGAAUCACUGGGCUUAAAGCGUCCGUAGGCGGCUCGGAAAGUAGGGUGUGAAAUCCCACGGCUCAACCGUGGAAUUGCGCUCUAAACUAUCGAGCUAGAGGGAGAUAGAAGUGAGCGGAACUGAUGGUGGAGCGGUGAAAUGCGUUGAUAUCAUCAGGAACACCGGAGGCGAAGGCGGCUCACUGGGUCUUUUCUGACGCUGAGGGACGAAAGCUAGGGGAGCGAACGGG
rnacentral:rRNA from 1 species